CCAGCAGCUGCGGUAAUUCCAGCUCCAAUAGCGUAUAUUAAAGUUGUUGCAGUUAAAACGCUCGUAGUCUGAAGGGAUGGAGCGGUGUGGGUGUGUCCGCGAGGAUGUGUCUGUGCUGUUCUGUUUGUGAGCUUAUUUCAUAAGCUCGGAUUACUUUGAGGAAAUUAGAGUGUUCAAAGCAGGCGUGUGCUUGGAUACUGCAGCAUGGAAUAAUGGAAUAGGACUCGCGUCUUAUUUCGUUGGUUUGGAGAUGUGAGUAAUGAUGAAUAGGGACAGUUGGGGGCAUUGGUAUUCAGUAGUCAGAGGUGAAAUUCUUGGAUUUACUGAAGACUAACUAGUGCGAAAGCAUUUGCCAAGGAUGUUUUCAUUGAUCAAGAACGAAAGU
rnacentral:rRNA from 1 species